rnacentral:rRNA from 1 species
UACAGAGGGUGCGAGCGUUGUCCGGAAUCACUGGGCGUAAAGGGCGCGUAGGCGGCCUGGUAAGCGUGCGGUGAAAGCCCGGGGCUCAACCCCGGGUCGGGCCGUGCGAACUGCGAGGCUGGAGCACUGUAGAGGCAGGUGGAAUUCCGGGUGUAGCGGUGGAAUGCGUAGAGAUCCGGAAGAACACCGGUGGGCGAAGGCGGCCUGCUGGGCAGUGGCUGACGCUGAGGCGCGACAGCGUGGGGGAGGCAAACAAGG